rnacentral:rRNA from 1 species
AGAUUGAACGCUGGCGGCAUGCCUAACACAUGCAAGUCGAACGGGAGUAGCAAUACUCUAGUGGCGGACGGGUGAGGAAUACGUAGGAAUUUGCCCUUAAGUGGGGGAUAACCCGGGGAAACCCGGAUUAAUACCGCAUGACCUCGAAAGAGCAAAGUGGGGGAUCGCAAGACCUCACGCUUUUGGAGAAGCCUACGUCGGAUUAGCUAGUUGGUGAGGUAAUGGCUCACCAAGGCGACGAUCCGUAACUGGUCUGAGAGGAUGAUCAGUCACAACCGGAACUGAGACACGGUCCGGACUCCGUACGGGAGGCAGCGA